CAGUAGCCGCGGGAAUACGUAGGGUGCAAGCGUUAAUCGGAAUUACUGGGCGUAAAGCGUGCGCAGGCGGUUUGUUAAGACAGAUGUGAAAUCCCCGGGCUCAACCUGGGAACUGCAUUUGUGACUGGCAAGCUAGAGUAUGGCAGAGGGGGGUGGAAUUCCGCGUGUAGCAGUGAAAUGCGUAGAUAUGCGGAGGAACACCGAUGGCGAAGGCAGCCCCCUGGGCCAAUACUGACGCUCAUGCACGAAAGCGUGGGGAGCAAACAGGAUUAGAUACCCCAGUAGUCCCUGUCUCUUAUAC
rnacentral:rRNA from 1 species